CUGCUGGAGUGUGCCCAAUGCUAUAUGUCAGUUGAGGUUCUAAGACUUGGAAGCCACAGAAAUGCAGAAUGCCACUCUGAGGAUACAGAAAGCACAGAGAGGAAAGAUCACUGACGAGAUGCACGCACAAUCCCAGCAUUGUCUGCUAAACGGUAAGGCAGCUUCCCGAAGAAGAAAGGCCGUGGUUUGCUGCAGGAACACAUUCA
rnacentral:lncRNA from 1 species